AGAGUUUGAUCCUGGCUCAGAAUCAACGCUGGCGGCGUGCCUCAGACAUGCAAGUCGAACGAUUAAAGCUCCCUUCGGGGAGUGUAUAAAGUGGCGCACGGGUGAGUAACACGUAAGUAAUCUACCUUCGAGUGGGGAAUAACGUUCGGAAACGAACGCUAAUACCGCAUAAUGCAGCGGCAUCGCAAGAUGACAGUUGUUAAAGAUUUAUCGCUUGAAGAGGAGCUCCGGUCUAAGAGGACGGUCGGACAUUGCGGCAGAUUAGCUAGUUGGUAAGGUAACGGCUUACCAAGGCGACGAUCUGUACACUGACACUGAAUAACGGGUCAGACUCCUACGGGAGGCAGCAGUCGGGAAUUUUGGGCAAUGGGCGAAAGCCUGACCCAGCAACGCCGCGUGAAGGAUGAAGUUUUUCGGAAUGUAAACUUCGUAAGAAUAGGAAGAAUAAAUGACGGUACUAUUUGUAAGGUCCGGCUAACUACGUGCCAGCAGCCGCGGUAAUACGUAGGGACCAAGCGUUGUUCGGAUUUACUGGGCGUAAAGGGCGCGUAGGCGGCAAUUCAAG
rnacentral:rRNA from 1 species